rnacentral:rRNA from 1 species
UACGUAGGCAGCAAGCGUUGUUCGGAGUUACUGGGCGUAAAGGGUGUGUAGGCGGUUCCUUAAGUUUGCUGUGAAAUCUCCCGGCUUAACCGGGAGGGUGCGGUGAAUACUGAGGGACUAGAGUACGGGAGAGGAAAGUGGAAUUCCUGGUGUAGCGGUGAAAUGCGUAGAUAUCAGGAGGAACACCCGUGGCGAAGGCGGCUCUCUGGGACGGUACUGACGCUGAGACGCGAAAGCGUGGGGAGCGAACAGG